CGGACUGGCCCAGGGAGGUGGGCAACUACCACCCAGGGCCGGAAAGCUCUCCAAACUCGGUCAUUUAGAGGAAGUAAAAGUCGUAACAAGGUUUCCGUAGGUGAACCUGCGGAAGGAUCAUUACCGUAUCUCGGGCGGCCGUCCGAGGGCCCUGCUCCGGCCGCGAGGCCGUGCAGCGGGCUUUCGGCGACGCCAAACCUUCACAAACCCACCGUGCACCUUUGCGGGAGAGGCUCCCGGGCGAGAGCCCGGUCGGCCGAACCCGCUCCAAACCAAACGCUAGUCGAUAGAAUGUGAUGCGGCCUUUGCGUCGCCCAAUGACAUGACAACUUUCAACAACGGAUCUCUUGGCUCUCGCAUCGAUGAAGAACGCAGCGAAAUGCGAUAAGUAAUGUGAAUUGCAGAAUUCAGUGAAUCAUCGAAUCUUUGAACGCACCUUGCGCUCCUUGGUAUUCCGAGGAGCAUGCCUGUUUGAGUGUCUUGAAGUCAUCAACCCCUCCGGUUCGUUGAGAACCGGAGAAGGUUGGAUUGUGGGGGCUUGCUGCCGCGAGGCUGCUCCCCUCAAAUGCGUCGGUUGGACCUGCGGGUCGGACUCGAUUGGGCGUUGUAUCAUCCUCGCUCUGACCGAGAAGUUCCCCUUCCGUGUCCUCCCACGACCGGCCUUGGAGGGCCGGUCAAACACUCUUCGAAAUCUGACCUCAAAUCAGGUAGGACUACCCGCUGAACUUAAGCAUAUCAAUAAGCGGAGGAAAAGAAACUAACAAGGAUUCCCCUAGUAACUGCGAGUGAAGCGGGAUGAGCUCAAAUUUGAAAUCUGGCGGUUCCGCCGUCCGAGUUGUAACCUGAAGAAGCGUUUUCCGUGCCGGACCGUGUACAAGUGCCUUGGAACAGGACGUC
rnacentral:rRNA from 1 species